AAUCUCGUCAGACAGAAAGUUGCCGCCAGGUCUAACACAUUCAAGUUGAGCGGAUGAGGGGACAGUUCUCCGUGAGUGAGCGGCGGUUGGGCGAGUAACUCAUAGGAAUCCCUCUGGUAGUGGGGGACACCGUAUUUAAAGGAACCCUAAUCCCGCAUAGGUCUUCCGGGAGAAAGGGGGGGAUGUUCGGCCCUCACGAUUUCAGAUGAGCCUAGGUCGGAUCAAGUAGUUGGUGAGGUAAAGGCUCUCCAAGGCGACGAUCCGUACAUUGUGUGAGAGGUUGAUCAGCCCCCCUGGAGGUGAGACCCGGUCCAGACUCCUACGGGAGGCAGCAGCGGGGAAUAUUGGACAAUGGGUGAAAGCCUGAUCCAACCAUCCCGCGUGUGUGAAGAAGGUUUUCGGCUUGUAAAGCUCUUUAAGUUGGGAGGAAGGGCAGUAAGCUAAUACCUUGUUGUUUUGACGUUCCAACAGAAUAAGCGCCGGGUAACUUCGUCCCAGCAUCCGCGGUAAUACGAAGGGUGCAAGCGUUAAUCGGAAUUCCUGGGCGUAAAGCGCGCGUAGGUGGUUCGUUAAGUUGGAUGUGAAAGCCCCGGGCUCAACCUGGGAACUGCAUCCAAAACUGGCGAGCUAGAGUAUGACAGAGCCCGAUC
rnacentral:rRNA from 1 species